rnacentral:rRNA from 1 species
GACAGAGGGUGCAAACGUUGUUCGGAAUUACUGGGCGUAAAGCGCACGUAGGCGGCUCUUUAAGUCGGGGGUGAAAUCCUGGAGCUCAACUCCAGAACUGCCUUCGAUACUGUAGAGCUUGAGUUCGGGAGAGGUGAGUGGAACUGCGAGUGUAGAGGUGAAAUUCGUAGAUAUUCGCAAGAACACCAGUGGCGAAGGCGGCUCACUGGCCCGAUACUGACGCUGAGGUGCGAAAGCGUGGGGAGCAAACAGG